UCUUCUUCUUCUUCUUCUUCUUCUUUCUUUCUUAUUUUCUUCCUUCUUCUUCUUCUUCUGUUCUUCUCCUCUGCGAAUUCGAGAGAUCAAAUGAGUUAUUUCUGAACAGUGGAAGGUGGAACAUAUCAUGGGUUAGCGGUUAGUGAUGUUGUUGUUUUCCGUUGAUGAUCCAGACUCGAAGGAGGAAGUGAAAUGGAAGUUAGGGUUUCUGAGGUUGAAGUUCUUGAAGAAUUGAAGAUGAUAUGGUACUGUUGAGGGAUAAGUAACAAUUGGGUUGUGGUUUAGAGCCUUGAAAUUGUUUCAGUGACGAAUCAGUGGAGAAUCAUUGUGGAUAUUUUUAUUAGGGUUUCAUUAGAGUCGCAGAAGUGAAUUCGAAGAUGAAAUUGAUACUCUAGAAGUUCAAUUGAAGUUGGGUUCUGUCUGUUGAAUGCAAAUAAGAAGAUUUAAUAUCUAAUUUUCGAUUCAUAGAGAAAAAUUGAAGAAUUAGAGUUCAUGUGUUCUUCCUCAAUUUGAAUUAGGGUUUAACUGCGAGUUGGUGGUGUUGAUUCAAAGAUUGAUUCAAGUUCAGAGAAGCUUUGAGGUAUCUGUUUUCUUAAUAUCUAACUAAAACUAUUGAUUUCAGUUAAUAAGUUUACGAUUUUGUGGAUGAUGAUGAAUAUAUAAUGAAACUGAAGUUUAUAGUUUGAGAUGAUUGUUCAAUUGAGACAAAGGAAGGAAGAAUUCGACCUAAGUUGCCUUAGCAGCACUGAUUUGAGGUAAUUGCUCUUAUCAGUAAAAUCAAUUCAAUUCCAAUAUUGGGUUUAUAAGUCUUUCCAUGAACUGUGAAUGAGGUUUGCUGUGAUAUGUAUUUGUUUAUGGAUGUGAUAAAGUUUAGGUUGUGUUGGUUGUAAGAAGUUGAUAUGUGUUAGAGUUAAUGUAGGGGUUGAGCUUUAUGAAUUGAAAUGGUUAUGAAAUAGAUGUGUGGUUGAACUGAGUUAACUGUGGUGGUGUUAGUGGUUGUUGAUACAGUAGUCAGAAAAUGGGUUUGGUGUUGAGAGGUUGUUGAUGAAAUGGGAUGAAGAUAAGAGUAUGUUAUGGGUAGCUUAUGUUGCUGGUAAGCUGUUAGUGUAGAAGAAAGUUGCAGUUUGUGAUUAAAAAUGGAAGUUGCAGAUUAGGUGAUGGUGUUGAUGUUACAGAGGAUGAGUUGUGUGAACUCAGAAAGAAUGGGUUUUGUUGUUGAGGUUGUAAUUGAGAAGUUCUAGAGUUUCAGUUGCAAUUCAGUGGAGUUGGUGGUUAUAGACCUGGUGUCGUUGUGCCUAAGUGAAUUAGUUUUAUAGCAGGAUGUAGAAAGAAUGUGGAGCAGCUACUGCAUUUGCAGGGACGAACCAGUAGAUCGCGGAUCUCGAGGAAGGCGUGGCUUGUCAUCAAAAGAGUUUCAGAGACAGAUCAGAGUUGCGCAGCGAAAGCUUCGAGGAGUUG